UGAUGAUUCUGGAGCUCAUGGUGGUUGGU
rnacentral:piRNA from 1 species